rnacentral:rRNA from 1 species
AACGAACGCUGGCGGCGCGCCUAAUACAUGCAAGUCGAGCGAGAAGACGUAGCAAUACGUUUGUAAAGCGGCGAACGGGUGAGGAAUACAUGGGUAACCUACCCUCGAGUGGGGAAUAACUAGCCGAAAGGUUAGCUAAUACCGCGUACGCUCCUUGGACUUCGGUUCAGGGAGGAAAGCGAUACCGUGGGUAUCGCGCUCAUGGAUGGGCUCAUGUCCUAUCAGCUGUUGGUGAGGUAACGGCUCACCAAGGCUUCGACGGGUAGCUGGUCUGAGAGGACGAUCAGCCACACUGGCACUGCGACACGGGCCAGACUCCUACGGGGAGCAGCAGUAAGGAAUAUUGCGCAAUGGGCGAAAGCCUGACGCAGCGACGCCGC